rnacentral:tRNA from 2 species
GCCCAGGUGGCGGAAUUGGUAGACGCGCUAGUUUGAGGGGCUAGUCGGGUAACACCGGUGCAGGUUCGAGUCCUGUCCUGGGCA